rnacentral:lncRNA from 1 species
CUGGUCAUAUAUAUAUAUAUGUUAUGUACAAGUUAUCAUUUUGUACAAAUUAUAAUUAGUACAAAAAUAUUGUACAAAUUAUAAUUUGUAUUUUGACUUUGUACGAAUUGUAAUUUGUACAAAAAGUGCUUGUACAAAUUACAAUUUGUACAAAAUAGGACAAAAAUUCACUUAUAUAUAAAUAACUUGUACAAUAAUUUUUUAUACGGAUUUUGGCGAAAAAAGCAUUGAUACACAUUAUUGAAUUGCUACGUACUAAAUGACCUGAAAGUAAACCUAAGUUACAUAAUUCAAAAGUAGUUCUUUAUCAAUUGUUAGAGCAGGUGAUAUAGUGAUUUAUGGAAUCAGGUAUUGCAAACCAUCUUUUGACUCUCAAAUCGAUAACGACCUGUUUUACAGGCAUUUUAACUGUUUCAUAUAGCGAGCGUUGAAGCUCAGGAACCGUUGCUGUGAAUAAACAUGUGUAUUUAGUUGCUUCAGUCAGACUUUUAGACAAAAUAAAUAUCCCAGAAGAUUAAACACCCCGUUUGGUUAGGAAUAUGACUAUGCUAAAGUCAAGAAUAUGUCAGUUGUUGUUUUGCCUUUUUUUAUCAUUGUUUUUUUUUUCAACAAUAUGAAAUAUGAAAUUUUACAAAUAUACCCCGUAAUCGUUUGCAAAGUUUCUAAAUAAAAAAAAAUACCUCAAAAUAACGAUAAGAACUAAUCAAGCAGUACUAUUGAAUGAUAUUUUUUUUUUAAGAAAAAGACGUUUAUGUAUUAAAAAUUUGAAAAAAAUCCUAUUUGUUUACUUUUUUUUCUCUCAAAAAUUUCAAAGAUCAACCUGCCUUUUGUAGUAAGUGUUGUGUAUAAACGGUGUAUUAUGUUAAUAAGGUUUAGUGUGUUGUCAGUUAAUUACAAUUCUAUUGUGUGAAUCAUUGCAUUUUUCACCAAAAUUCGUAUUUAAAACUGUUGUACAACAUGUACAAGUUAUAAGUGAAUUUUGGUCAAAUUUUGUACAAAUUAUAAUUUAAACAAAAUGAUAACUUGUACACAACAUAUACACUCAAUAGAUAGACCAUCUU